UGGCUGAGACGGUAAAGCAUCUGCGUGCAAUGCGGGAGACCCAGGUUCGAUUCCUGG
rnacentral:tRNA from 1 species